rnacentral:rRNA from 1 species
UACGUAGGCAGCGAGCGUUGUUCGGAAUUACUGGGCGUAAAGCGUGCGCAGGCGGUUUUGCAAGCCGGAUGUGAAAUCCCCGGGCUUAACCUGGGAAUGGCAUUCGGGACUGCAAGGCUGGAGUGCGGCAGAGGAGACUGGAAUUCCUGGUGUAGCAGUGAAAUGCGUAGAUAUCAGGAGGAAUACCGAUGGCGAAGGCAGGUCUCUGGGCUGACACUGACGCUCAUGCACGAAAGCGUGGGGAGCAAACAGG